AGUGGACGCUGGCGGUAGGCCUAACACAUGCAAGUCGAACGGCAGCACAGUAAGAGCUUGCUCUUACGGGUGGCGAGUGGCGGACGGGUGAGGAAUACAUCGGAAUCUACUUUUUCGUGGGGGAUAACGUAGGGAAACUUACGCUAAUACCGCAUACGACCUACGGGCGAAAGCAGGGGAUCUUCGGACCUUGCGCGAUUGAAUGAGCCGAUGUCGGAUUAGCUAGUUGGCGGGGUAAAGGCCCACCAAGGCGACGAUCCGUAGCUGGUCUGAGAGGAUGAUCAGCCACACUGGAACUGAGACACGGUCCAGACUCCUACGGGAGGCAGCAGUGGGGAAUAUUGGACAAUGGGCGCAAGCCUGAUCCAGCCAUACCGCGUGGGUGAAGAAGGCCUUCGGGUUGUAAAGCCCUUUUGUUGGGAAAGAAAAGCAGCAGGUUAAUACCCCGCUGUUCUGACGGUACCCAAAGAAUAAGCACCGGCUAACUUCGUG
rnacentral:rRNA from 1 species